GAUGAACGCUGGCGGCGUGCCUAAUACAUGCAAGUCGAGCGAACGGACGAGAAGCUUGCUUCUCUGAUGUUAGCGGCGGACGGGUGAGUAACACGUGGAUAACCUACCUAUAAGACUGGGAUAACUUCGGGAAACCGGAGCUAAUACCGGAUAAUAUUUUGAACCGCAUGGUUCAAAAGGGAAAGACGGUCUUGCUGUCACUUAUAGAUGGAUCCGCGCUGCAUUAGCUAGUUGGUAAGGUAACGGCUUACCAAGGCAACGAUGCAUAGCCGACCUGAGAGGGUGAUCGGCCACACUGGAACUGAGACACGGUCCAGACUCCUACGGGAGGCAGCAGUAGGGAAUCUUCCGCAAUGGGCGAAAGCCUGACGGAGCAACGCCGCGUGAGUGAUGAAGGUCUUCGGAUCGUAAAACUCUGUUAUUAGGGAAGAACAUAUGUGUAAGUAACUGUGCACAUCUUGACGGUACCUAAUCAGAAAGCCACGGCUAACUACGUG
rnacentral:rRNA from 1 species